UACGUAGGUGGCAAGCGUUGUCCGGAUUUACUGGGCGUAAAGGGAGCGUAGGCGGAUAUUUAAGUGGGAUGUGAAAUCCCCGGGCUCAACCCGGGAGCUGCAUUCCAAACUGGAUAUCUAGAGUGCAGGAGAGGAGAGUGGAAUUCCUAGUGUAGCGGUGAAAUGCGUAGAGAUUAGGAAGAACACCAGUGGCGAAGGCGACUCUCUGGACUGUAACUGACGCUGAGGCUCGAAAGCGUGGGGAGCAAACAGG
rnacentral:rRNA from 1 species